rnacentral:rRNA from 1 species
UCAAGCGCGAAAAGGGCGUUUGGUGGAUGCCUUGGCAGUAAGAGGCGAUGAAGGACGUGAUACCCUGCGUUAAGCCAUGGGGAGCCGGGAAUAGGCUUUGAUCCAUGGAUGUCCGAAUGGGGGAACCCACCUGAUAUUCUGUUGUUGUUAUCCUUCGGGAUGAUCAUCAAUGGGGUAAGCCAGGUACUUUUAUCCUGAAUACAUAGGGGUUUAAGAGCAAACCCGGGGAACUGAAACAUCUAAGUACCCGGAGGAAAGGAAAUCAAGAGAGACUCCGCUAGUAGUGGCGAGCGAACGCGGACCAGCCGAGCCUCGAAGAGUGAGCAGAAUGCACUGGAAAGUGCAGCCAUAGUGGGUGACAGCCCCGUAUGCGAAGCUUUAGAGGACAUAUUAAGUAGGGCGGGACACGUGAAAUCCUGUCUGAAGAUCGGGGGACCACCCCCGAAGGCUAAGUACUCCUUACUGACCGAUAGCGAACCAGUACCGUGAGGGAAAGGUGAAAAGCACCCCGACGAGGGGAGUGAAACAGUACCUGAAACCGAACGCCUACAAGCAGUCGGAGGGACCAUGAGUCCUGACGGCGUACCUUUUGUAUAAUGGGUCAACGACUUAGUCUCACAAGCAAGCUUAAGCCGCUAGGUGUAGGCGCAGGGAAACCGAGUCUUAAAAGGGCGAUUGAGUUUGUGGGAUUAGACCCGAAACCAGGUGAUCUAGCCAUGAGCAGGAUGAAGGUUGGGUAACACCAACUGGAGGUCCGAACCGACACCCGUUGAAAAGGGUCCGGAUGACUUGUGGCUAGGGGUGAAAGGCUAAUCAAACCUGGAGAUAGCUGGUUCUCCGCGAAAGCUAUUUAGGUAGCGCCUCGGACGAAUACCAUUGGGGGUAGAGCACUGCAUGGGUGAUGGGGGCCCACAGCCUUACUGAGCCUAAGCAAACUCCGAAUACCGAUGAGUACUAUCCGGGAGACACACAUCGGGUGCUAACGUCCGGUGUGAAGAGGGAAACAACCCUGACCUGCAGCUAAGGCCCCUAAUUCGUGGUUAAGUGGGAAAGCAUGUGGGACGGCCAAAACAACCAGGAUGUUGGCUUAGAAGCAGCCAUCAUUUAAAGAUAGCGUAACAGCUCACUGGUCUAGAUAAGCUGUCCUGCGGCGAAGAUGUAACGGGGCUCAAACCACGAGCCGAAGCUCAGGAUGUGCAGCAAUGCACGUGGUAGCGGAGCGUUCUGUGAUAUAGGACGCUGUGUAUUUAUAUUCGGCUCUAGUCGAAUAUAGCAUACACAAUGUGCUUUCUGUGAAGCCGGGCUGUAAGGCAUCCGGUGGAGAGAUCAGAAGCGAGAAUGUUGACAUGAGUAGCGAUAAAGAGGGUGAGAGACCCUCUCGCCGUAAGUCCAAGGGUUCCUGCUUAAAGCUAAUCUGAGCAGGGUAAGCCGGCCCCUAAGGCGAGGCCGAAAGGCGUAGUCGAUGGGAACCACGUUAAUAUUCGUGGGCCAGGAGGAAGUGACGGAUCUCGAGUGUAGUUUGCCCUUAUCGGAUUGGGUGGGCUGCUUAGAGGUUCCAGGAAAUAGCCCUCCAUCAGACCGUACCCUAAACCGACACAGGUGGACUGGUAGAGUAUACCAAGGCGCUUGAGAGAACCACAUUUAAGGAACUCGGCAAAAUGCCUCCGUAAGUUCGCGAGAAGGAGGCCCUGUUCGCACGCAAGUGUGGGCAGGGGGCACAAACUAGGGGGUGGCGACUGUUUACUUAAAACACAGGGCUGUGCGAAGCCGUAAGGCGACGUAUACAGUCUGACGCCUGCCCGGUGCUGGAAGAUUAAGAGGAGGGGUGCAAGCUCUGAAUUGAAGUCCCAGUAAACGGCGGCCGUAACUAUAACGGUCCUAAGGUAGCGAAAUUCCUUGUCGGGUAAGUUCCGACCUGCACGAAUGGCGUAACGAUCUCCCCGCUGUCUCAAAUGUGGACUCAGCGAAAUUGAACUGUGUGUCAAGAUGCACACUACCCGCGGUUAGACGGAAAGACCCCAUGCACCUUUACUCCAGCUUUGCACUGGUAUCAGGAUUGUGAUGUGCAGGAUAGGUGGUAGGCAUCGAAGCGGGGACGCUAGUCUUCGUGGAGCCUCCCUUGAGAUACCACCCUUCGCCAUCUUGAUAUCUAACCGCGGCCCGUUAUCCGGGUCCGGGACCCUGCAUGGUGGGGAGUUUGACUGGGGCGGUCGCCUCCCAAAUUGUAACGGAGGCGCGCGAAGGUAGGCUCAGACCGGUCGGAAAUCGGUCGUUGAGUGCAAUGGCAUAAGCCUGCCUGACUGCAAGACUGACAAGUCGAGCAGAGACGAAAGUCGGUCAUAGUGAUCCGGUGGUCCCAAGUGGGAGGGCCAUCGCUCAACGGAUAAAAGGUACGCUGGGGAUAACAGGCUGAUGAUGCCCAAGAGUCCAUAUCGACGGCAUCGUUUGGCACCUCGAUGUCGGCUCAUCUCAUCCUGGGGCUGGAGCAGGUCCCAAGGGUAUGGCUGUUCGCCAUUUAAAGAGGUACGUGAGCUGGGUUUAGAACGUCGUGAGACAGUUCGGUCCCUAUCUGCCGUGGGUGUAGGAGACUUGAGAAGAGUUGCCCCUAGUACGAGAGGACCGGGGUGAACGGACCACUGGUGGACCAGUUAUCGUGCCAACGGUAGUGCUGGGUAGCUAUGUUCGGACAGGAUAACCGCUGAAGGCAUCUAAGCGGGAAGCCCCCUUCAAAACAAGGUCUCCCUUGAGAGCCGUGGAAGACCACCACGUCGAUAGGCCAGAGAUGUAAGAGCAGUAAUGCUUUCAGUUGACUGGUACUAAUUGCUCGAUAGGCUUGAUUUG